rnacentral:pre_miRNA from 1 species
UCCCUCCAUAUCUUUGACUUUUUGUUUGCAACGUUUGGCCAUUCGUCUUAUUCAAAAAAUUAUGGAAGUAUCAUUUAUUUUGUUUGUGACUUACUUUAUUAUCAAAAGUACUUUAAGGAUGACGUAACCUUUUUUAUAUUUGCAAUAAAUUUUUGAAUAAGACGAAUGGUCAAACGUUGCACAUAAUGAAAUGGAGGGAGUAUUGAUA